rnacentral:rRNA from 1 species
AUUGAACGCUGGCGGCAGGCCUAACACAUGCAAGUCGAACGAGUGGCGGACGGGUGAGUAAUGUCUGGGAAACUGCCCGAUGGAGGGGGAUAACUACUGGAAACGGUAGCUAAUACCGCAUACCAUCGGAUGUGCCCAGAUGGGAUUAGCUUGUAGGUGCGGUAACGGCUCACUUAGGCGACGAUCCCUAGCUGGUCUGAGAGGAUGACCAGCCACAUGGGAACUGAGACACGGUUGAGCCCCCUAGGGGAGGUAGCAGUGGGGAAUAGUGCACAAUGGGCGCAAGCCUGAUGCAGCCAUGCCGCGUGUAUGAAGAAUGCAUUCGAGUUGGAAAGUACUUGCAGCGGGGAGGCGUUACCAGCAGAAGAAGCACCGGCUAACUCCGUGCCAGCCGCCGCGGUAAUA